rnacentral:lncRNA from 1 species
UCAGAUACGCAAUGCAUACAACGACGUGUCACUUCUAUAAGGUAAGAUGCCAUCGGAUUGUUACAACGUAAGUCGCAGGAACAAGGCUGUAGGGGGUCGGCCCGUCAUUGGACCGGGGAGCUCCGAUCCAUCUAUCCAAGCCUUCCAAGACAUCCUUUUCGGCCCUAGAGUCCUGGACUUCUAGUAGCAAAGUCGAUCAAUGGAUCCACUAAAUUGAAGUCAUGGACAGUCAGGCGAAUCGUUAAAAACACUAUCUUUUUUAAGAAAUGAAGCAAUGACAAUGAAACAAAUU